rnacentral:rRNA from 1 species
AAUAUUGCACAAUGGGGGAAACCCUGAUCCAGCCAUCCCGCGUGUAUGAUGAAGGCCUUCGGGUUGUGAAGUACUUUUGGCAGAGAAGAAAAGGUACCUCCUAAUACGCGGUACUGCUGACGGUAGCUGCAGAAUAAGCACCGGCUAACUACGUGCCAGCAGCCGCGGUAAUACUUAGGGUGCAAGCGUUAAUCGGAAUUACUGGGCGUAACGCGUGUGUAAGCGGUUCAGAAAGAAAGAUGUGGAAUCCCAGGGCUCAACCUUGGAACUGCAUUUUUAACUGCCGAGCUAGAGUAUGUCAGAGGGGGGUAGAAUUCCACGUGUAGCAGUGAAAUGCGUAGAUAUGUGGAGGAAUACCGAUGGCGAAGGCAGCCCCCUGGGAUAAUACUGACGCUCAGACACGAAAGCGUGGGGAGCAAACAG